GGAUUAAGAGCUUGCUCUUAUGAAGUUAGCGGCGGACGGGAGAGUAACACGUGGGUAACCUGCCCAUAAGACUGGGAUAACUCCGGGAAACCGGGGCUAAUACCGGAUAACAUUUUGAACUGCAUGGUUCGAAAUUGAAAGGCGGCUUCGGCUGUCACUUAUGGAUGGACCCGCGUCGCAUUAGCUAGUUGGUGAGGUAACGGCUCACCAAGGCAACGAUGCGUAGCCGACCUGAGAGGGUGAUCGGCCACACUGGGACUGAGACACGGCCCAGACUCCUACGGGAGGCAGCAGUAGGGAAUCUUCCGCAAUGGACGAAAGUCUGACGGAGCAACGCCGCGUGAGUGAUGAAGGCUUUCGGGUCGUAAAACUCUGUUGUUAGGGAAGAACAAGUGCUAGUUGAAUAAGCUGGCACCUUGACGGUACCUAACCAGAAAGCCACGGCUAACUACGUGCCAGCAGCCGCGGUAAUACGUAGGUGGCAAGCGUUAUCCGGAAUUAUUGGGCGUAAAGCGCGCGCAGGUGGUUUCUUAAGUCUGAUGUGAAAGCCCACGGCUCAACCGUGGAGGGUCAUUGGAAACUGGGAGACUUGAGUGCAGAAGAGGAAAGUGGAAUUCCAUGUGUAGCGGUGAAAUGCGUAGAGAUAUGGAGGAACACCAGUGG
rnacentral:rRNA from 1 species